rnacentral:rRNA from 1 species
CCUACGGGAGGCAGCAGUGAGGAAUAUUGGUCAAUGGACGAGAGUCUGAACCAGCCAAGUAGCGUGAAGGAUGACUGCCCUAUGGGUUGUAAACUUCUUUUAUAUGGGAAUAAAAUGUUCCACGUGUGGGAUUUUGUAUGUACCAUAUGAAUAAGGAUCGGCUAACUCCGUGCCAGCAGCCGCGGUAAUACGGAGGAUCCGAGCGUUAUCCGGAUUUAUUGGGUUUAUAGGGAGCGUAGGUGGAUUGUUAAGUCAGUUGUGAAAGUUUGCGGCUCAACCGUAAAAUUGCAGUUGAAACUGGCAGUCUUGAGUACAGUAGAGGUGGGCGGAAUGCGUGGUGUAGCGGUGAAAUGCUUAGAUAUCACGAAGAACUCCGAUUGCGAAGGCAGUUCACUGGACUGCAACUGACACUGAGGCUCGAAAGUGUGGGUAUCAAACAGGAUUAGAUACCCUUGUAGUC